AUUUAAGGGUUGGCAGUGGAGGCAAGGGUAUUUUGCUGGAGAUUUCUCUGUAUGCGAGGCCUUCAGAAGGCUGAAUGUACGUGACUUCAGUUUCUGCCCAUUGGGUCCUCUUUCGAUGAGGCUUACUCUUGGCUAUCUCUUCCCUGUGCAAGUACCUAUUAAUGUCUGCUCACCUGUGCAGCGUGACAUGUGAGCAAAAUCUGGGAGGACUGAGGAAGGAAGGAUAGCUACCACCCACAAGAGCCAGUUUGCACAUCAGAAUAGCGAGCGUCUGACUGUUACGAAACAGUGCUGGAAUGAAGAAGAGCUCAUUCAUCCCACCUGUUCCACUUCCCUACUGUCUGACUGUGGCUGAGGCUCAAUGAAGCUGGUGGGAUUUUCACGCAGCAUUUGGACAUGGGUUUAAUUUCUAAUUUAUCAUAUUUAGGAGAGACCAAACUAAUGCUGGAUGCCUUGGUGAAUGGAGAUCUGUCAGAGGGGAAAAAUAAAGGGGGGAUAGGAGCAGAAAUCAGAAUGGGAGUGCAGGAUAUCUUCACUAAUAGGGUUUGUUUUCCUAUUUAAAUGCAAAUAUUUCUCAUCAUCAUCCUAUUUGUGGACAAAUAAGGUAAUUGCUCCUUGUGGCUAUGCUGAAUCUGCUGGUAUAAUGGGCAGUCGAAUUGGAAAAAAAAAAAAAAUGCAGGCAGUUGGGUGAAGAUGGGAUGUUAAACGUUGUGGAGCCUGGAAACCCUGUGUCAGCCCACAGCUUGUAAAGAGAAAACCAUCACUUGGCAGAGACAGCUUAAUAGGCUUGUAAAAUCUGGCACUAUCAAAGCCAUGAUUUGGAUUUUAUCAAAGCAUGGCAGGGGAGCCUUGAGAAAUGACAGCUGUAUUAUCUGUCUUCAGAUCAUUCUGAGAGCAACAUCAGGAACAGACUGGAAACGGUUCAGAAAUAAUUUCAUGUUGAGGGCUUGCUGGGGGCAGGAAUGUAUAAGGAAAAUUGAAAUUAAAGAAUUAAUAGCAGUAUCAGUAACCUUCUUACAGCAGCUAUCAGAGAUGACAUGAAAAUGACUUGAAAGUUGUCAUCUACUGCAUGUUUUAUUCCCAUCAGAAAGGUUUGAGAGAUGAGAGGAGAAUCCAAACAAAGCAAUUAAUACUGGAACAGGUUGUGGAAAGGAGGAAUGACUGUUCUGUAGAACCUUUAAAUGCAAUUUUCCCUGCUAAGCACAGUGGCUGGACCAAAUGGAUACAGCAGAGCAAAUACUGGAGUGAACAGAUUUCUGGAGUGACAGCAGGCAUUUGCAGUCUCUGCUGGUAUGCACAGGGCAGUCUGUGCAAGAUGACGGUCACUGCAGCAAAA